UACGAAGGGGGCUAGCGUUGUUCGGAAUUACUGGGCGUAAAGCGCGCGUAGGCGGAUUUGCCAGUCAGGGGUGAAAUGCCAGGGCUUAACCUUGGAACUGCCUUUGAUACUGCAAGUCUGGAGUACGGGAGAGGUGAGUGGAAUUCCGAGUGUAGAGGUGAAAUUCGUAGAUAUUGGGAAGAACACCGGUGGCGAAGGCGGCUCACUGGCUCAUUACUGACGCUCAGGCGCGACAGCGUGGGGAUCAAACAGG
rnacentral:rRNA from 1 species